UCCGUAGGGUGCAAGCGUUGUCCGGAAUUACUGGGCGUAAAGCGUGCGUAGACGGUUAUGUAAGUCGGGUGUGAAAGCCCCGGGCUCAACCUGGGAAUUGCAUUCGAGACUGUGUAGCUAGGGUACGGAAGAGGGAAGCGGAAUUUCAGGUGUAGCGGUGAAAUGCGUAGAUAUCUGAAGGAACACCAGUGGCGAAAGCGGCUUCCUGGUCCAGUACCGACGUUCAGGCACGAAAGCGUGGGGAGCAAACAGG
rnacentral:rRNA from 1 species